rnacentral:rRNA from 1 species
CCGCGUGAACGAAGACGGCUACUGCGGGUGUGUGAAAGUUCUUUUAUGGUGGGGAAGAAGAGCGUGACGGUACCACAUGAAUGAAGCCCCGGCUAACUACGUGCCAGCAGCCGCGGUAAUACGUAGGGGGCGAGCGUUGUCCGGAAUUACUGGGCGUAAAGGGCACGCAGGCUGUGCUUCAAGUCAGCUGUAAAAGGAUGCGGCUUAACCGUGUUAUGCAGUUGAGACUGAGGUGCUGGAGUACCGGAGAGGCAAGUGGAAUUCCCAGUGUAGCGGUGAAAUGCGUAGAUAUUGGGAAGAACAUCGGUGGCGAAGGCGACUUGCUGGACGGUAACUGACGCUGAGGUGCGAAAGCCAGGGUAGCGAACGGGAUUAGAUACCCCGGUAGUCCUGGCGGUAAACGAUGAAUGCUAGGUGUGCGAGCAGAGAUGUUGGUGUGCCGCAGUUAACGCGAUAAGCAUUCCGCCUGGGGAGUACGGUCGCAAGAUUGAAACUCAAAGGAAUUGACGGGGCCCGCACAAGCGGUGGAGCACGUGGUUUAAUUCGAUGCAACCGAAGAACCUACCUGGGU